CCUGGAUGAGCAGGAGCUGGAGGCACUCUUCACUAAGGAGGUGAGCAUCUUGGAAGCCUCGGGCACCUGGAGGGACGCCCAGAUCAGCCACUUGUUUCCUCCUAGCAGUCCCCUUAAAUCCCCCUGGAUGGGAGCUCAGUGAAAACUACAACUCCCAUCAGCCCCUGGGGCAAAAACGGCUCCCAGGAGUGGUGGCGUGCGCAAAGGACUGCUGGGAGUUGAAGUUGUCGGGAUUGAGCUCGCUGGGGACCUCUCAAUGCUGUCUGCCUCUCGCUUGCUCCUGCAGCUGGAGAAAGUGUACGACCCAAAGAAUGAGGAGGACGACAUGCGGGAGAUGGAGGAGGAGCGACUGCGCAUGCGGGAGCAUGUGAUGAAGAAUGUGAGGUGGGGGCCAGGCGGGGGAGAGGACGGGGCCCCAGCUCUGUCACUCACCCUUAUCUGGCUCCCCAGGUGGACACCAACCAGGACCGCCUCGUGACCCUGGAGGAGUUCCUCGCAUCCACUCAGAGGAAGGAGUUUGGGGACACCGGGGAGGGCUGGGAGACAGUGGAGAUGCACCCUGCCUACACCGAGGAAGAGCUGAGGCGCUUUGAAGAGGAGCUGGCUGCCCGGGAGGCAGAGCUGAAUGCCAAGGCCCAGCGCCUCAGCCAGGAG
rnacentral:sRNA from 1 species